rnacentral:tmRNA from 1 species
GGGGGCGAAUGGGCUCGACGGGGGUUAUGAGGCUUAUGUUGCAUGUCGUGGCUCCAUCACCACGUAAAAAGAUGGAAAAAAACACAAACGCCAACAACGAACUGGCACUCGCUGCUUAAUUAAGCAGCUCGCUACCCUGGGAUCGCCUGUGUCCUGGGGAUAGCGACGAUCAGCAGGCUGGCAGCAGGGGAGAGCUCCUGACCCUGUUGCGAGACAAAGGGAGAUUGGAUUUCAGGCAGCCUGUCUGCCGGCGUCUUGAAGUCCGAAAACUGAAAAGACAGUCUACACAUGUAGAAGCAUAAGAGUAGUGCUUUCGGACGCGGGUUCGAUUCCCGCCGCCUCCACCA